CCUCACUCCUCUUAGCAGGGCUGGGACUUGAGAGAGAACGGCUCUGGACUUUAAAGUAGCAACAGAAGUUCUAGUUCCCUAUAAGCCACCCACACUUUGUGAGGUCUUUCGUGGAGAUGAUCCCUUCCUCUCUUUGCACCUCUAUCUUCUCACCCCUUUGAUGAUGCUUCCUUACUGGUUCUCUGUAGGGUCUGAGGCAAUGACAUUCCGUGUAUCACGUUCUCAGUUAGUAUUCUGUGGAAUUUUGAAAGGUGUAGGACAAACUCUUACCUUCACAGGGCUUCCUACCUGUUUACAGCUGCAGUCAGAAGAAUUUAGAGUCAGAGAGGUAGAGGAGAAAAAGACCAAGGCCACUAGCCCUGCAUGAACAGAUGCUAAAGGCUGCCCAAGAGGGACGUGUGUUACCAACCAACAGGGUGUUUCAUCACCACAACGGAAAUGAAAACAGAACAGGUGAAAUCCGGCACUUAUGACGGCGUAUAACCUGGGACGAUGAUGUGGUUUGUUUGAGCUUCAGCUUCUUACCUAUAUAUAAGGCAGUACCAAUAAUACUAUGUUAGGUGUCCCUGUGAGAAAUAGUGUGAGUAAAUCACGCAGCUCAGUGCCUGUGGUAGGUACACACAAUUAUCAACAAUCCCGAUCGUCACCAAAACAUUGUUAUUAUUAUUUCUACAGUACCUCCACAAUCCCCGCCUCCGGUCUUUGCUCCCAGGGUUUCCCUGUCUGUCACCCAUGCAUUCAGCUUGCCCAUUGUAAAACAAUGGGAAUUUUUUGGCCUCUUUGGGCCCACGCUGCUGUUUUAAGAGCCAGUCCAGUCCUCCUGACAUUGAACUUGCCAACGAGUUGGAGCCUACACCCAGCAUCUGACAGCGUCUGUGUCCCCAGUUCCGCAACAGAUUGGAAUCCUCCCCACAAGAAGGGGAGCUGCACAAGUGGUUCAAGCUGUCUCCAGGCUUGGGAGCUGGGUGGGUGCUUUUGUCAAGAAACAUGGCCUUUUCAUUAAGGCCAUUGUCCGCCAAUUAGCCCAGCACUGACUCACAGGGAGCACAACACUGGGGGCCCGCUGUUCAGGCGGCCUGUGGCUGCAGCAUUGUGUUCUACGAGCCCUGCGUCUCGUACCCUAAAGAGUCUCCCCUCUGCCGCUCUUCUAGGUGGCUUCUUCACCCUGCCGUGGGGUGCACCUGUCACCUCAGUGAGGGCGCAUUUGUCGCUUGUGUGCUUGGUACCAGGUGGUGUACCUCUGUCAUGUUAUUGAAUUAACAGAACCACCCGGAAGGAAAGUGCCGUUGUCAUUGCUGUUCUUGCAGAGAAGGCAACAAAACCUCCGAAAAAAUGUUUCUCAAGUCGAAGAGGACACAAAACUGUCUCCUUAGUCACCAGAAGAACUGCCAUUUGGACAGCGUUUUCUAAAUAAACUUUGAGUUGCACUGCCUUGGACGAGUUAGAGACCUCUCCAUUUGCCCCCUGCCUACCCCGUCUCUCCUCAUCCCUUCUUCAUCAAGUCUGGAACAUGAAGUCAGAGAUAAAAUAUACACACAGCCCCUGACGGAAGACACUCAAGAGAAGAAAGGGAAGUGAACAGGACGGAUAAUCACCAUGUAAUCAACGCAGACAAGAGCUACAUGCCAGAGACAUCUCUCAUAUCAGAGUCACUCCAGAGAUUUUUGUGUGGACACAGCCACCACAAGCCAGUUGUUCUGCUGCUGGGGUGAGGUGGGGUGGGGUAGGGGGCUUAGUUGCUUCCCCUGUCUGUCUGUUUCCUACAAACAACACUUCCCUGAAAGCCUUAUAACAUCUGUCCACACACCCCAAUCAGCAUUUCUGUAGAGUCACUUUACAGGUGUGGAAUUACACGCUUACUUUGACAUUUUAAUAGCUACCCCUUCUGGACACAGUGCGUUAAUAUAUCCACUUAUGACUUCCAUAUCUGGGUCAAUACAUGAUAUUAUAAGUGUGGUGGUUUGAAUAGGUAGCUAUGGCUCCUAUGGACUCAUGCAUUUGAAUGCUUGGCUAUAAGGGGUGACACUGGUAGGAGGUGUGGCCUUGUUGGAGUAGGGGUUAUCUUGUUGGAGGAAGUGGGUCACUGUGGAGGUGGACCUUAAGGUCUUAUAUGAGCUCCAGCUCCAUCCAGCGUGAUAUACAGUCUCUCCUUGCUGCUCGAGGAUCAAGAUGUAGGACUCUCAGCCCCUUCGCCAGCCACAUGUCUGCCGGCGUGUCACCAGGCUUCCUGCCGUGAUGAUAAUGGACUAGACAUCUGAAACUGUAAGCCAGCCCCAACUACAUGUGUCCUUUAUAAGAGUUGCCUUGGUCGUGGUGUCUCUUCGCAGCAGUAAAACCCCAAACUAAGACAAUCAGGUUCUUACAAUUUUGCUGAACAAAUAAAAUGGCACCAUGUGGCUUGGAUGGGCAUCAUUCUGACCCCUGAUUAAACAUCUCUCGUGCGCA